rnacentral:sRNA from 12 species
CGGUUCCGCUUGCGAGCAGGCUUUCGGUACGAAUAGGGGCAGGCACCCAUCGUCAACACACCCAGCGAAGGUGUGGAACCGUUACGGAUCUUAGAGAAGAAAGAAUCCAGAUACUGCAAGCG